AAGUCGUAACAAGGUUUCCGUAGGUGAACCUGCGGAAGGAUCAUCACUGCAUGACCGCCUUUUAUGUCCACCUGUGGUUUUGGCUGGUCGUUCGUGGAGGUCGCCCCGCGAGGGGGGCUUUCGGACGGCGUCAUUUUUCUUUUACACACGCGAAUGAGUUUGAACAAAAACAAAAAACAUACACAACUUUUAACAACGGAUCUCUUGGUUCUC
rnacentral:misc_RNA from 1 species